CCUACCUGUGGCUUGGACUUCUCACAGCGUGGCAGCUGGGUCCUGAGAGGGAGCCUUCCAGAAGAGCAAGCAUUCCAGCAAGCAUUCCAAAAGAACUUGGCAGAAGCUGCACCGUCUUCUAUGACACAGUUUCUCUUUCCUCAUACUUGCAUGGCUGAGGUAGUUGCAAGUCCAUCCAGAUUCAAGAUGUGGUGGUAUAGACCCCACCUCUCAGUGGGAGAAGUAUCAAAAAAAUUGGGGGCCAUGUUGUAAAACUGCCACACUGGUUUGAACUUUGAUUUAUAUACAUAUUCUCUACUGGAGCUAUAAGCUAUUUGAGGAUAAAAGUUGUGUCUUAUUUAGUUUUGAGCUUUCAGGACCUCAGACAAGUCCUGCUACUUAACAGAAACCCACUCCUGGCUAAGGUCGAGACGUGUACGUGGGCUCCGUCUCUGUCAUCAGUCAUGAAGCCAAAUUAAACUGAAGCAUAAGCAUUGCCCUCCAUCAUGUUUAUCUGCAAGAUAUUAAUAAAAACACGGUGGCUGUUCAUUCCAUUUUUCACUUUUACUUGUCAUUACCUUGUUGCACCAAUCAAGCAAACAGAUGGUGAUCACUUAAUUGAAGUACAGAGGCUGAGCUUUACACCUAUAUUUCAUAACUGUCUGGACGAUGGAACCAUGUGCACGUUUUACCAACAGCCCUUGAGAGAGGUUAUCUUGCAUGGCUUAAGGAGAAAGAAUCCACAUGUCGAAGGAACACAUUUAUAAUUGUGGGAUAUCAGGCACCACUGACAGUGACUAAAGAAGUUUGGAGGCAUCGGUGCUCAGAUCUCAUCUUCUCCUGGAGUGGGCCAUCUCUGUCUAUUCCUGGACAGUCUGCCCUGCUUAUCAGCUCACAGCUAAAUCUUCCACCUGAACAGCUUCUCCCAUCCUCAUUAACUCAGGACGGUCGCUGUGCUCAGGAUCUUCUGACACUUUCUCUGGCUUUUUUCAUCCUGACUUCUCCACGUUCCAUGGGUAUCUUCCCCUUCACUUUCAAGGAUACACAAGUUCACUCAACUUGAUAAUUCUUCAUUUGGUUCUGUUGCAUACUCUAAGAAAUCUGUCAAUCUCCUCUCUUUUACUGCCCAAACUUUUAAGUGUAUAUUAUAUACGUCCUCUGCCUCUAUCUUUCACUGCCUGCUCAUUCUUUAAAAUUUUGAUUAAAUUUUAACUCAACAAAACUUCUUGUGGCAACAUCCUAAGUCUUUACUCUUCUUGAUGCCUUUUUGAAAUUCAAUUCUUCUAACAAUCCCUUCUUCUAGAAUAAUCAUUCGCAAUCUUAUCAGACCCUCAAUUCCUUUUAGCACAAAUACUUGUGAUGCUGCCCUAUCAUUCUGUAAUGAAAUGCGUUGACAAUAUAACUUUACUCACAGAAUUUUAAUAGUUCUGUUUAAUGCCUUAACUGUAUAUACAUGAGAAUUAAAGGAAACAUUUCUAAUGAAACAAUAUGCAUCAAUAUAUGGAAUCACCAUUAAUAGAACAGAUACAGAUGCAGAUUGAUACAAAUGUAAUUCAAAUACCAUGAGCAGCACUGCCCUCAAAAAUAGGAAUGUAUGAACUGAUGAACAAGAUUUGAUAAAGACUUCAAAGAAAUCAAAAUAGAACGGGCUGGCCCCGUGGCCAAGUAGUUAAGUUCUCACGCUCCGCUGCAGGCCGCCCAGUGUUUAGUUGGUUCGAAUCCUGGGUGCGGACAUGGCACUGCUCAUCAAACCAUGCUGAGGCAGCGUCCCACGUGCCACAACUAGAAGGACCCACAAGGAAGAAUAUACAACUAUGUACUGGGG
ensembl:lncRNA